rfam:Facklamia hominis CCTG 36813 genomic scaffold supercont1.1, whole genome shotgun sequence.
AAUCUGAACAAGCGGUAAAUUUAUUUACGCAGCUGGGUUACAUGAAAAAUGUAACAGCAGAGCCAGAGCGCACUGUGAGACAG